rnacentral:rRNA from 1 species
UACGUAGGGAGCAAGCGUUGUUCGGAUUUACUGGGCGUAAAGGGCGCGUAGGCGGCGCGGUAAGUCACUUGUGAAAUCUCUGAGCUUAACUCAGAACGGCCAAGUGAUACUGCAGUGCUAGAGUGCAGAAAGGGCAAUCGGAAUUCCUGGUGUAGCGGUGAAAUGCGCAGAUAUCAGGAAGAACACCCGUGGCGAAGGCGGUUCUCUGGGACGGUACUGACGCUGAGACGCGAAAGCGUGGGGAGCGAACAGG